rnacentral:rRNA from 1 species
UACAGAGGUCCCAAGCGUUGUUCGGAUUCACUGGGCGUAAAGGGUGCGUAGGCGGUCGGGUAAGUCUGAUGUGAAAUCUCACAGCUUAACUGUGAAACUGCAUUGGAUACUAUCCGGCUCGAGGAAUGGAGGGGAGACUGGAAUACUUGGUGUAGCAGUGAAAUGCGUAGAUAUUGGGAGGAACACCAGUGGCGAAGGCGGCCACCUGGACCGGUUCUGACGCUGAUGCGCGAAAGCGUGGGGAGCAAACAGG